UGAAAUUCCCUAUGCUCAGUUUAGAUAAAUGAAUUUCGAGCAUGAGGUUGAGUUCGUGAUGAGGAAGAGAUCACAUUGGUGGUGGUCUUGUGUCCUAAAUUUACCAAACGAAGAAACUCUGGUGAGGGACCAUCGAGGAAGAUGACUAGAGUUCAUCUCAGGUCAUCUGAGUUUGGAGACACGUUGGGCAUUUGAAAUAUUUUUAUUUGUCCAAUUUGAAUUAGAUCAUGUGUUUCAUUUUUGUUAAAUUCCAUUGUGCGUCCUAGCAUUGUGAUUGUUGGGUCUGUCACGUCAAUUAAUGAGGCCUGAUCCAACACUCCUUUUUUUUCUAAUUUUAUUUAUUUUUUCUUUUUUUUUUCAUUUUUAAUUGCUUUUUCUUUAAAAAUUCAUAGUAAUUUUAUUUUUUAUCCAAAAAAUCUCAAAAUAAUUUAUAAAAUUUUCUUUUAUUUUUCUUCAUCUGAUUUUUAUUUUUCCAUAUUUUAUUUUCUUUAUUUGCUAUUUUUCUUGAAUUUUCUCCUUUCUCCUUUGUUUUAAUUGGUUUAA
rnacentral:lncRNA from 1 species